UACAGAGGGUGCAAGCGUUAAUCGGAAUUACUGGGCGUAAAGCGCGCGUAGGUGGUUCGUUAAGUUGGAUGUGAAAUCCCCGGGCUCAACCUGGGAACUGCAUUCAAAACUGUCGAGCUAGAGUAUGGUAGAGGGUGGUGGAAUUUCCUGUGUAGCGGUGAAAUGCGUAGAUAUAGGAAGGAACACCAGUGGCGAAGGCGACCACCUGGACUGAUACUGACGCUGAGGCACGAAAGCGUGGGGAUCAAACAGG
rnacentral:rRNA from 1 species